GACCUAAUAGUAUUCAGACUUGCUAGAGUUUUAAAAUCUCAAUCUCUCUAUGCAGCCGCCAACCCCUUUCCUCUCUUGGACAAAAUUUCAACUCGCUUUCACCAUGAAAUCAGAAUGGUUUCACCAUUUUCGCCAAAGUCUUCAUUUUCUCUCUUGCAUAUUCAGUGAAAAGCCGAAAACUUUGGUAUCAAAGUUGACCAAAUCGCUAUUUUUCUGAAGCAAGAGAACGAUUUUGUUGAUCUUCUUUCUGUCACAAUUUUGACGGAUCUUGAACGAGCAAUUUUGAAUUUCAAGCGGAUCUUUCAAUUCCCGCUUCCAAAACCCUAGUUUUCUCCUAUAAAUACUCCCCAACUCUCCAGCCGAAAGAUCAUCUGGGAAUCCUCAAAAAAUAGUUAGAACUUGGCAAAAUCGAGUCACCAAGUAAUUCUCUUCUUUAAUCUCUGUCUCUAUUUAGUUCGCUAAAACAAUGUUUCAAUCUUGUUACGUGGAGGGAGUAGAUCUGAAAUCUCAAAGUUUUAGUCCAUUGCCUCUAAAAAGAUCCCGGAGCGGCAGCGUUCGGACCGUAGCAUUUGGAUGACUGCCUUCAGUCCAGCUAGAGAUACCCAGGUAGUCCUGCAGGCGUCCGCAGGCCCGGUGUUCUCUUCUAUCUUUUAUGUAUUCUGUUUCCAUUUACUUCCGAGACAGAUUGUACUUUUCCUUUCAGACACUUGUAUGUAGUAUUCGUAGACAGUCCGUGAUAUUGUGACACCGGAUUUCGGGUAGAGACGUAUGUUGGCAUUGUCGUACUGGUUAUGGUUAAUUUAUCAGAUUAAGUCUUCCGCUUG